UAGUAACCCUCUCCUCCAAUCAUUGCUACAGUCAAUAUUGGUUAAUACUGCUACUGCUAAUAAUGGAAUAAGAGAUAUAUUUGAUAGUUGUGAUAAAGGCGGUCUAAUGGAUCCCAGUGCAGGUGUUCAGUAUGCCAGUAGUGAAGCUGAUGGUGUCAUUGAGUCUCUUAA